AGCAGAAAUGCAACUUUUCUCCAGUAUCACUUACUAACUAAUCCAUCCUUUCCCCAAAUUAAAAAUCUCACCUGUAUAAUGUACUACACUCUUCUUUAUACUUGAAAACACACACACACACACACACACACAUUCUGUUAUUCUGGUCUGUUUAUUCCUUGGCCUGUUCUACGUUAUCUUAACUGUUAUAAGCUUAUCAUCAAAUUUAAUAUCUGGCAGGACACGUCACCAUUUGUUUUUUUAAAAAAAUUUUCUAUGCCAAUCUCUCAGUAAUUUUUCCGACAAAUAUUAAGAUCAUUAUGUCAAGCCAUAAAACAAUCCCCCAAGGUUAUCGAUUAUUUUGUGGAAAGCUGGCAUCUUAAUAAUGUCUCUUCAUUCAGUUAAAAUGUAUGCUCUUCCGUCUGAUCAACUCUCCUUUACUAUCCCUCUGUUCAUUUUUAUAGUAUUUUUUAUAAACUCCACACACUUCCUGUUAAGUUUAUUCCAAGGUUCUGUUUGUUUUGCUAUUGAAAAUGAAUCUUUAUCAAUCUUUUAUAGAACCUAGUACAACGCCUUACACAGAGCAAACACAACAUAUUUGAGUAAAUGAAUAACUACUGGUUUCACAUUUACAUACUACACUAGUUUCCAUACCUUAAGUUUACAAAAAAAAAACAAUUUUUUAAAAAAUCCACUAAGAUCAUUUUUAGUACUUGUAUUUCAUGUUUCUCUUAUUCAUUCCCUGUAUUCAAUUAAUCAACAGAGCCAUCAUUUUUUUCUUUGACUUUUUCUUGAGUUUACUUUCUCUAUUCAACUCUUACUCAUCUUAAUCUAGUUACGCACUAUCAUGCUCAAUUCAGAGAAACCAUAUUACCAUAUAUUUAGAAACUGUGCACUCACCAACCAAUGCCUCAAAUCAAAAUUAGAUUCCAUAGUCUCUGUGGAAUUCAAUAUUGACCAUUCCUGCCUUAAAAUGUUCCACCCUUUGUCUCUACAUACUAUCCUUGCCUGCUUAUUCUUUUCUAUUAAUAUUUUCUCUAUUUCCAGUGUUUCUAUUAACAUUUUCU